AGUAACGCGUGAGGAACCUGCCUCAAAGAGGGGGGACAACAGUUGGAAACGACUGCUAAUACCGCAUAAGCCCACGGCUCGGCAUCGAGCAGAGGGAAAAGGAGCAAUCCGCUUUGAGAUGGCCUCGCGUCCGAUUAGCUAGUUGGUGAGGUAAUGGCCCGCCAAGGCGACGAUCGGUAGCCGGACUGAGAGGUUGAACGGCCACAUUGGGACUGAGACACGGCCCAG
rnacentral:rRNA from 1 species